GGUUCACCAAGCUGUGAUGAAAAGAUAAAUCUGGUUACCUGGAAUCCUUGAGGUCUGUGUCACUGCCUCUAGGCUCCUCCUGGGAAGGCACUCUGCCAUCUUUUGACUUAAGUCAGACCCCAAGCUUUAGGAGAGGGAAGCCCAGAGUGUGUGGUGAGAUAGAGCAAUUAUGUCGUUGGAGAGCUGAGAAAAUAACUCCUGAUUUGCUGAUCUGGCUACCAGAAGAAGCCUGUCUUUCCCCCUUCCUCCAGCCAGCCUCAUGUACAUUUGUCCUCCGGGUGCAGAAGGACAGAACCCUUGUAGCCUUCCAGCAGAUUUGGCCAUCAUAGCACCAAACCACUGAGCUCUGCCAGGUUUCAGCAGACCCGGCUCUGACCAGCAGAGGCUGCCAGGAGCUCACUGAAAGCCCUCCAGCUGAGGACACAGCCCUCGGGGAGCAGGAAUGGGCAGAGGGGCAGCGGAACCUGGGCCAGCACUGCUGGGAAGAAGACGCUGGAGAGAGCAGAGGGGUGUCCAGCCCGUUUGCCAGUAACUGGGGAGCCCGGCAGCUGGCGUGCAGCUGUUCCUCCACUCCCGGGAGCCUCGCCUCUGGAAUGAUCCUUUGUAGUCUCUGGGGCAGCCUGGGCCAAGGAGCUUGCUGCCUCAGAGGUGGUGAGGCUUCGGUGGAGAAGGACAGGGCAAGUUCUGAGAUAGCAUGGAAUGUCGUCACCCUUCACUGAGUGUCUUUGAAACCUUGGCAGCCCGCUGAGGUUGGUGGGGUUUGUUCCCUGUCCUCUAAGAAUCAAGGCCCUGGUUCUCCCCUCUCCUUGCCCAAGUGACCUCGGGGCCAUCUCUUUGUGCCCUUCUCCACACACCCCAUCCCACUUGGGGAGCUUCUGUUCUGGUUGGAAUCCUUGGUUUCCCCAGGGGGACAGAGCAAGCUCCCCUGCAGCAGGGGAGGGAGGGACAGCCUCAGGGUCUGCCCAUGAGCCACAAGAACCCCGGCUGCCCCAGACUGGACUAUUCCAAAUCACCAAAGAGGAGGUUUCCCAGAGCUGGUACCCAGCAAUCCCGAGGGACUAGAGGGCUAGGAUGGACUGACCUCCCCCUCAGUGGGGGGGCUGGAGACGCACAGCCCCUGUGGCCCAGCUAGUGGCAGGUCCGGACCCAGCCGCUACCGGAGUCUCCAGCGGCAGGAAGCCACAAUUGCCUGAUCUGUUUUCUCUCACCUCUGAGGGAGAGAACGGGGUUCCCCCCCUCCCCGUUGGCCUCCCCCUUCCUUAUCGUGACUUGGGCCUCUAUGCUCUUUCUCUGUGGAGCCAGACCAGGUGGGCAGCGCUGGGGCCAGCUGGUGAGGGAGGGACCCCGGUGACCCCUGCCCCCACAGGGGGUC
ensembl:lncRNA